UAACGUCCGUCGUGAAGAGGGAAACAACCCAGACCGCCAGCUAAGGUCCCAAAGUCAUGGUUAAGUGGGAAACGAUGUGGGAAGGCCCAGACAGCCAGGAUGUUGGCUUAGAAGCAGCCAUCAUUUAAAGAAAGCGUAAUAGCUCACUGGUCGAGUCGGCCUGCGCGGAAGAUGUAACGGGGCUAAACCAUGCACCGAAGCUGCGGCAGCGACGCUUAUGCGUUGUUGGGUAGGGGAGCGUUCUGUAAGCCUGUGAAGGUGUACUGUGAGGUAUGCUGGAGGUAUCAGAAGUGCGAAUGCUGACAUAAGUAACGAUAAAGCGGGUGAAAAGCCCGCUCGCCGGAAGACCAAGGGUUCCUGUCCAACGUUAAUCGGGGCAGGGUGAGUCGACCCCUAAGGCGAGGCCGAAAGGCGUAGUCGAUGGGAAACAGGUUAAUAUUCCUGUACUUGGUGUUACUGCGAAGGGGGGACGGAGAAGGCUAUGUUGGCCGGGCGACGGUUGUCCCGGUUUAAGCGUGUAGGCUGGUUUUCCAGGCAAAUCCGGAAAAUCAAGGCUGAGGCGUGAUGACGAGGCACUACGGUGCUGAAGCAACAAAUGCCCUGCUUCCAGGAAAAGCCUCUAAGCAUCAGGUAACAUCAAAUCGUACCCCAAACCGACACAGGUGGUCAGGUAGAGAAUACCAAGGCGCUUGAGAGAACUCGGGUGAAGGAACUAGGCAAAAUGGUGCCGUAACUUCGGGAGAAGG
rnacentral:rRNA from 1 species